UGCAUUUGCAAUACCUUCAGGAUCUGUAUUACAAACAAAUCACAAUUUAUCAAUAUAAAUAACAAAGAAAAUAUUAUAUAUAAAGAAAAUUAACCAGUGAUAACAAGAAUUAACAACCCUAAAAAUAAGUUUUUGCAUGGAAGAAAUCAUUUUGUCAAAGAAGAUUGGUAUCAAAAAACUAAGGGUUCAACCCAUCUUUAUCAAAGGACUAAGAGCAUGAAUAUUUCCCUUCGACAACAUCAAGCAUAUUAAUGUGAAAUUCUGGUUCUCAUUCAGCUAUAGCACUUGCACUUUGUAAAGGAUGGCAGGUUAAAUACAUCGAAAGCUUGAAUCCAGGACAGUUAAAGAGUUAAAACCACCAAGUAUACCACAUUAAAUGGUUAACUAACAACACCAGCACAUUCACGCACAGUAAAAACAGGUUCCUAUGAUUGCUGGGCACCCAUGAUUUCACAGCCAUGGGAAGGGGUCGCGUUAAAUAGGUUGAGCAAUAAUUUAUGAAUAACUAGCAUAGUUGUCAAAUCGAGAACCAAAAUCUUUAUUUUGUGAAUCGA
rnacentral:misc_RNA from 1 species